GAUGAACGCUGGCGGCGUGCCUAACACAUGCAAGUCGAGCGAACGGACGAGAAGCUCGCUUCUCUGAUGUUAGCGGCGGACGGGUGAGUAACACGUGGAUAACCUACCUAUAAGACUGGGAUAACUUCGGGAAACCGGAGCUAAUACCGGAUAAUAUUUUGAACCGCAUGGUUCAAAAGUGAAAGACGGUCUUGCUGUCACUUAUAGAUGGAUCCGCGUUGCAUUAGCUAGUUGGUAAGGUAACGGCUUACCAAGGCAACGAUGCGUAGCCGACCUGAGAGGAUGAUCAGCCACACUGGAACUGAGACACGGUCCAGACUCCUACGGGAGGCAGCAGUGGGGAAUAUUGCACAAUGGGCGAAAGCCUGAUGGAGCCAUGCCGCGUGAGUGAAGAAGGUCUUCGGAUCGUAAAGCUCUGUUAUUAGGGAAGAACAGAAGUAUGAGAAACUCUGGACGUCUUGACGGUACCAAAAGAAAAAGCCCCGGCUAACUACGUG
rnacentral:rRNA from 1 species